GGACUACUGGGGUUUCUAAUCCUGUUUGCUCCCCUAGCUUUCGCGCCUCAGCGUCAGUUUCAGCCCAGAAAACCGUCUUCACCACUGGUGUUCUUCCACAUAUCUACGCAUUUCACCGCUACACGUGGAAUUCCGUUUUCCCUAACUGUACUCUAGUCAACUAGUUUCAAAUGCAGCUCCGGGGUUGAGCCCCGGAAUUUCACAUCUGACUUAAUCGACCGCCUACGCGCCCUUUACGCCCAGUAAUUCCGAUCAAUGCUUGCACCCUCCGUAUUACCGCGGCUGCUGGCAC
rnacentral:rRNA from 1 species